CUCAACUCAGAGGUUGAAACCUUAACUAAACGUUCUGACUUUUGGUUUGUUCCCUUAGUUAUGAUGAGAAAACAGCCUGCAAGAAACUUCUGGAGGCAGUUGGACUCGAAGGAUACCAGAUCGGAAAGACGAAGGUUCUCCUCCAGAUGGCUGAGUUAGAUGCUCGGAGGACUGAGGUCUUAGGAAGAGCAGCCAGAAUUAUAUACAGUGGAAAUUCCGCUCCUACCUUCUCAUCAAAGCUGCAAUAAAUAGUAAAUGGACUGUUGCAUUUACUAUUUGCUUUGUUAUCCAUCAUUUACAGUAGGGUCAACUUCCUCGACAUAUAUUUGAGGACAUGCGCAGAAAAGAAGCGGCUGCUUUGAAGAUCCAGAAAGCGUUGCGGAUCUACCUUGAUAGGCGAACUUACAUAGAAGCUGUGGUUACAGUUCAGUCAUGUUUGCGUUGUAUGGCUGCUCGCAAUGUACUAGGAAGGAAGACCAAGGCCACACUUGUUAUUCAGAUCCGUUGCCGUAGAUUCCUGGCCUAGAUACACAAAGUGCAUGGAGAGUAAGGCUAGCCCGUAAAGAACUUGCGAGAGCUUAAGAUGGUGAGCCUUAUUUAAGCAUUUCACAUGGAAGAUGAGCUUAGAUAGUGGAGAGAGCAUCAGGACGUUUCCCUUCUACUCCAGUAAAGAACGUGCAAAAUGUCCACCAUCCUAGCGAAGAAAAUCCGUCUCUGCAGGGAACUAUGUUUACCACACCAGCAAGGAUUCAAGAACCGAGGGGAUCCCGUUUUGAUCCUCGACAUGAGGAUGUGGAUGCGCUGAUCAACUGUGUCACAAAAAGUGUUGGAUUCAGUCAGGGGAAGCCUGUACCGGCAUUUACCAUCAUCAACAAUGCUUCUCUAACUUUGCAUCUUGCCUUUGUAUGUAUGUGUUGUGAGCUGACAUGAAAGAAUCUCUCUCUCUCUCUCUCUAGGCACCAAUCAGGUAUAAGGGGAAUUAACUAAUAUCUGGUAGCACUGCGCGCUAAACACUGGCAAGGGAUUACUGAAGCCUUAGAAGCACUGCUAAGCAUACUCAAAGAUAACUUUAUAUGUUCCUCCGGUUCUUAUCCAGACUCUAUUCUCCCAGGCUUUCUCACUCAUCAAUGUCCAACUAUUUAAUAGCCUUGUCACUGGACGAGAUAACUGUUCAUUUAUCAAUGGAGAGUAUGUAAAUUUGGUUUAGAUAAGUUGGAGAAAUGGUGCUCCGAGACAAAUGUGGAGGUAUUAGUUUCCCUUUUCUUGUUUUGUUGUUGUUGUCAAUGUGUUACACACUGUCUCACCUGUGUUAAACUAAAACAUACCAGACAAGCUGUUGGAUUCUUGGUAUGUUGUAAACUUGUUUUGAAUUUGUGAAACAUCCUCUAAGCAAAUCAACUUUAAUUUUACUUUG